UUUCGGGUCCAAACAGGCACACUCAAACUCAGCCCACAAGGAGCCGGUUGGUGUUGAGCAUUCGUGCGCUGUGCACACCAAAGGCGGCAAGCCGCCUCCCUUUCAGUACGAGAGAAGUACUGGCAACAAUAUCUUCUCCCUUGCGCGUCUGUUUGACUCCUUGGUCCGUGUUUCAAGACGGGUGGAUGCGCCCCAUCUACAGUGCCAGAAUUGAGCAAAACACAGAGAAGCAGCCCAGGCUCGCCCUUGCGGGUGCCAGGUCGCUUUAGCUCCGCUUGUCAAAACCACCAAUUCCCCCGGUUGCUGCAGUUAUUGCCCGCGCGGUAGUCAGGAAGGCCCAAUGCCCGCGCAGGAUAAUGCUUCGAGGUUGGUUCUGGCCAAAAAUGAAAUGGAGGCACGUCCAGUGUUAUUGUCACGAUUUCAGGUUCUAUGUCACUCUCUUUCCAAAGUGCUUUUCAAACUUUCGCUCACGCUACUUGUUCGCUAUCGGUCUUCCUA
rnacentral:rRNA from 1 species